rnacentral:rRNA from 1 species
GAUGAACGCUGGCGGCGUGCUUAACACAUGCAAGUCGAACGAAGCACUUUAUUUGAUUUCCUUCGGGACUGAUUAUUUUGUGACUGAGUGGCGGACGGGUGAGUAACGCGUGGGUAACCUGCCUUGUACAGGGGGAUAACAGUUGGAAACGGCUGCUAAUACCGCAUAAGCGCACAGCAUCGCAUGAUGCAGUGUGAAAAACUCCGGUGGUAUAAGAUGGACCCGCGUUGGAUUAGCUAGUUGGUGAGGUAACGGCCCACAAAGGCGACGAUCCAUAGCCGACCUGAGAGGGUGACCGGCCACAUUGGGACUGAGACACGGCCCAAACUCCUACGGGAGGCAGCAGUGGGGAAUAUUGCACAAUGGGCGAAAGCCUGAUGCAGCGACGCCGCGUGAGCGAAGAAGUAUUUCGGUAUGUAAAGCUCUAUCAGCAGGGAAGAUAAUGACGGUACCUGACUAAGAAGCACCGGCUAAAUACGUGCCAGCAGCCGCAGUAA